AGUACAGUGUUCUGCCCUGACACAGCCAAGGCCAAGGGCAGUGCAGGCACAGCCACCGUGACUCUCUGCUGGGAGGUUAACAGCUCCAUCAGUUCAGGGACUGCCUGACCCAGCCUGACCAAAUUAGAGCAAGAGAAAGAAUUGUGCCAUGAAAAAUGGAAAACUCCUGAGAAGCUGUUCCAGCGUCAGGAGAGCAGCAGACAAGCUGGACUGGGGAAGAUUCUUCCUGCAAGACCUGCAGAGUGUAUGACACAUAACCAGCACCCAAGAAAUGUCUACCGAGGAAUUAAUGAAUGAGGGUCCCAUACUUCCUAGCCAUGCUGUUGGCAGGGAUUAACAUCAUUGCAAUUCUCUGGGUAGACCUUGGGAGGUUUAAACCAACCAGUGACCCCUAUCAUCCUAGCUCCAGAGAUUGGCUUAGGGAUAGUCACCCAAUGCAGGCCAAUGCAAGGUGACUUUGCCAGGGGCUUCUGGGAAAGAAGUUUCCUUUCUCUGAGGAAAUGUGAAUGAGGACAUCCAUAACUCAGGUUGUGUCUGGCAGCCAUCUUGUGAUCAUCUGGCAAGACAGCCCAAGAAUAAAGCCGUCACCAUGGAGACUAAGAAGAGACAGAAAGACACUGGGUCUUCAUUGUCUCGUCCAGCUGUUCAUGAGGCCUUAUCUGAAGCCCACGUGACCUCCGGACUACUCACUUACAUGAGAGAAUAAAGCUCUUUUUUGUUUAGACCAAAUAAAUACAUAAUACAAUUACAUAAUCCCUUGAUUCCUUUUUAUGACUGAGCUCAGAGACUAUAUUUUGUCAUUUUAAAUCACCUUUGUCUUACAGUUUAUUUAACUGAAACAAAUAAACAAACCAAAACACGCCAGUUUUUCACUCCUCUGUCAAAGCCUUUCCAAGAUCACUAAGCUUGUGAUGUCCUGGGUGAAUGAAGAAGUAACAGUGUUUUCAACAACAUAGAAGCUUAUUUCUCUCUCAUAUAAAAGAAGGCUGGAGUCUGGCUGGUAUGGGAGAUACAGCAUCAUCAAAGUUUUAUCUUUUCGUCCUGCCAUCCUUAGAAUAUGGCUUUCAUCUUCAAGAUCACUUCCUAAGCUAUGAGGAUGCAAAGGUAUAAGAAUGACAUAGCGGACUUUGGGGACUCGGUGUGGGGAGAAGUUGGGAGGGGUGAGGGAUAAGAGACUACAUAUUGGGUACAGUGUACACUGCUCUAAAAUCUCAGAAAUCACCACCAAAGAACCUAUCCGUGGAAUCAAAAACCACCUAUACCCCCAAAACCACUGAAAUAAAACUAAAAAUUAAUUAAAAAAAAAA
rnacentral:lncRNA from 1 species